AGAAAUUAGCUUAAUUGGUAGAGCAUUCGUUUUACACGCGAAAGGUUAUGAGUUCGAACCUCUUAUUUCUA